rnacentral:rRNA from 1 species
CCUAACACAUGCAAGUCGAGCGGAAACGAGAAUAGCUUGCUAUUCGGCGUCGAGCGGCGGACGGGUGAGUAAUGCUUGGGAAUAUGCCUUAUGGUGGGGGACAACAGUUGGAAACGACUGCUAAUACCGCAUAACGUCUACGGACCAAAGGGGGGGAUCUUCGGACCUCUCGCCAUUUGAUUAGCCCAAGUGAAGGAUUAGCUAGUUGGUAAGGUAAUGGCUUACCAAGGCGACGAUUCUCUAGCUGGUUUGAGAGGAUGAUCAGCCACACUGGGACUGAGACACGGCCCAGACUCCUACCGGGAGGCAGCAGUGGGGAAUAAUUGCACAAUGGGCGAAAGCCUGAUGCAGCCAUGCCGCGUGUGUGAAGAAGGCCUUCGGGUUGUAAAGCACUUUCAGCGAGGAGGAAAGGUUUGGUAGUUAAUAACUGCUAGCUGUGACGUUACUCGCAGAAGAAGCACCGGCUAACUUCGUGCCAGCAGCCGCGGUAAUACGAGGGGUGCAAGCGUUAAUCGGAAUUACUGGGCGUAAAGCGUGCGUAGGUGGUUUGUUAAGCAAGAUGUGAAAGCCCUGGGCUCAACCUGGGAACCGCAUUUUGAACUGGCAAGCUAGAGUUUUGUAGAGGGUAGUGGAAUUUCCAGUGUAGCGGUGAAAUGCGUAGAGAUUGGAAGGAACAUCAGUGGCGAAGGCGGCUACCUGGACAAAGACUGACACUGAGGCACGAAAGCGUGGGGAGCAAACAGGAUUAGAUACCCUGGUAGUCCACGCCGUAAACGAUGUCAACUAGCCGUCUGUGGUCUUGAACCGUGGGUGGCGUAGCUAACGCGCUAAGUUGACCGCCUGGGGAGUACGGCCGCAAGGUUAAAACUCAAAUGAAUUGACGGGGGCCCGCACAAGCGGUGGAGCAUGUGGGUUUAAUUCGAUGCAACGCGAAGAACCCUUACCAUCCCUUGACAUCCAGAGAAGCGACUAGAGAUAGACGUGUGCCUUCGGGAACUCUGUGACAGGUGCUGCAUGGCUGUCGUCAGCUCGUGUUGUGAAAUGUUGGGUUAAGUCCCGCAACGAGCGCAACCCCUAUCUUAAUUUGCCA